UAGCUGCACAGAGUAGAAAUGCUGGCCUGG
rnacentral:piRNA from 2 species